GUGAGGAAUAUUGGACAAUGGGCGCAAGCCUGAUCCAGCCAUGCCGCGUGCAGGAAGACGCAUCUAUGGUGUGUAAACUGCUUUUGUACGGGAAGAAACACUCCCUCGUGAGGGAGCUUGACGGUACCGUAAGAAUAAGGAUCGGCUAACUCCGUGCCAGCAGCCGCGGUAAUACGGAGGAUCCAAGCGUUAUCCGGAAUCAUUGUGUUUAAAGGGUCCGUAGGCGGUUUAAUAAGUCAGUGGUGAAAGCCCAUCGCUCAACGAUGGAACGGCCAUUGAUACUGUUAGACUUGAAUUACAAGGAAGUAACUAGAAUAUGUAGUGUAGCGGUGAAAUGCUUAGAUAUUACAUGGAAUACCAAUUGCGAAGGCAGGUUACUACUUGUGGAUUGACGCUGAUGGACGAAAGCGUGGGGAGCGAACAGGAUUAGAAACCCUGGUAGUCC
rnacentral:rRNA from 1 species